rnacentral:rRNA from 1 species
UGACCUGCGNNNNGANCAUUAUUGNAUACGAAUUGGUUCNGAUGCUGGCCUCCAGGGGCAUGUGCUCGUUCCGAAUCUAUUUAUCUUCUCUUGUGCACCUCUUGUAGCCCUUGCAAUAAAAGUUAAAGUGAACCUCUCGCAGCGAUGCGGUUUGGGGGACUUUGAGCCGCAGCAAUGCCUCAUUCCCCUGCCUUGCUUUCUCUUCUGUUCAAGGUGUCUAUGUUUUCAUAUACACUAUUCAAGUUACAGAAUGUCUAUUAAAGAUUGCGCAAGCAGUCAUUAAACCUAUACAACUUUCAGCAACGGAUCUCUUGGCUCUCCCAUCGAUGAAGAACGCAGCGAAAUGCGAUAAGUAAUGUGAAUUGCAGAAUUCAGUGAAUCAUCGAAUCUUUGAACGCACCUUGCGCCCUUUGGUAUUCCGAAGGGCAUGCCUGUUUGAGUGUCAUUAAAUUCUCAACCUUGCUUGCUUUAACCGGCUUGAGUGAGGCUUGGAUGUGAGGGCUUUGCUGGCUUCCUUCAGUGGAUGGUCUGCUCCCUUUAAAUGCAUUAGUGGGAUCUCUUGUGGACCGUCACUUGGUGUGAUAAUUAUCUAUGCCUCGUCGACUUUGAAGCAAACUUAUGGGAACCUGCUUAUAACCGUCCUUUCAGGACACUAACUUAAUUGACCAUUUGACCUCAAAUCAGGUAGGACUACCCGCUGAACUUAAGCAU